AAGGUAACCUGCCUCUAUUGGAUCCAUUUUCUGACCUCUGGAAAAGGCCCAUUUGUGUCCCAUGCCCAUCACAUGAGAUGACUCUCCUCUCCAUAAGGGCUCUUCCCAAGCUUCUCUAGCCCCAAGACUCCAAACUCCCUGCCAAAGCUACCUCUUGGAUCCCACAUGGGCUCUGAGAGGCCAGGCCUAGGGGGGAACGUCCUGUGAAGAACCUGCUUUGGACCUCUUCUUCACCUUUGUUUGGCAAAGGAUUCUUGGAUCCCUUGUGCAUUCCUGGAUUCUCCACCAUAGCUCCUCACCAUCUCUGGGCUCUGCUUUGACAUCAUUGGUGAAUUAGAAAAGAGACAGUGUGGGGACAGCUUGCAACAAGUCUCACCUUGUCAGAGUGGAACUGUCAACUCUGGCAGCUAAGUUUAUUUCGAUGGCUGUGGCAAGUGAAGGUGGGCUUGGGAUCAGCUCACUGCUUCACUCUAGAACCCAAGUGGAUGAAGCAGCCACCAUUCUGAGCAUUGUCAGUUGCCAUGGCAGAAGAAAAGAAUCAACUCUGAAGAGUAUUGCCUUGUUAAUUAAAUGCUCUUAUUUAAAAGUGGCACACAGCACUUCUACUCAGAUGCCAUGGGUCAAAAACAGUCACACAGCCCUACCCCAUCACAAAGGGGCCAAGAAGUACAAUCCCACCAUGUGCCCAGAAGGUAUUUCCUAGUAAAAAUGUUGGGUGGACACAACUAUUGAGUACCGCAGUGAGCGUGUGUGUGUGUGUGUGUGUGUGUGUGCACGUGUAUGUGUGUAUGAGCUGUCCCUUGCUCCCGGUGUUCUCCCUAGAUACCUCCAAGGAACUCCUAGACUCCUUGAAAACUAUUUGAGUCAGUUCCCCUAUUUUAUAAAUGAAACUGAGGUCAAGUUGCUUAGUUAAGGUCAAAUAUCAAAAUCUGGGCCAGAGUGGAGCUCUCUUGGUUCUUAAUCCAUGACUCUUCUCAUUUUAAUUCAGAACAUGGUGUGUGUGUGUG